AAAUUGAAGAGUUUGAUCAUGGCUCAGAUUGAACGCUGGCGGCAGGCCUAACACAUGCAAGUCGAACGGUAACAGGAAGAAGCUUGCUUCUUUGCUGACGAGUGGCGGACGGGUGAGUAAUGUCUGGGAAACUGCCUGAUGGAGGGGGAUAACUACUGGAAACGGUAGCUAAUACCGCAUAACGUCGCAAGACCAAAGAGGGGGACCUUCGGGCCUCUUGCCAUCGGAUGUGCCCAGAUGGGAUUAGCUAGUAGGUGGGGUAACGGCUCACCUAGGCGACGAUCCCUAGCUGGUCUGAGAGGAUGACCAGCCACACUGGAACUGAGACACGGUCCAGACUCCUACGGGAGGCAGCAGUGGGGAAUAUUGCACAAUGGGCGCAAGCCUGAUGCAGCCAUGCCGCGUGUAUGAAGAAGGCCUUCGGGUUGUAAAGUACUUUCAGCGGGGAGGAAGGGAGU
rnacentral:rRNA from 1 species